UACGUAGGGUGCGAGCGUUAAUCGGAAUUACUGGGCGUAAAGCGUGCGCAGGCGGUUUUGUAAGCCAGAUGUGAAAUCCCCGGGCUUAACCUGGGAAUGGCAUUUGGGACUGCAAGGCUUGAGUGCGGCAGAGGAGACUGGAAUUCCUGGUGUAGCGGUGAAAUGUGUAGAGAUCGGGAGGAACACCGGUGGCGAAGGCGGGUCUCUGGGCAAUUCCUGACGCUGAGGCGCGAAAGCGUGGGGAGCAAACGGG
rnacentral:rRNA from 1 species